UGGGGGUGUAGUUCAGGGUAGAGCUUUCCACACUAGCAGCGGAGUUUUCUGGCCAAAACCUGGAGGAGCUGUGUGGUCCUCAUGCUAUGUUGUCUCCAUGAUGCUUCCCAGGACUACUCUCUGAUCCAUGUCAGGGCCUGGGAACUUCCCUGUUUCAUGAACUGGAUUUAAUGGACAGAUUCCAGAUUGAGAGAUCUUCAGAUGUCGGUAUUGCAUGUCUCAAUUUGUGUCUCCAAACUGCUAUUUUGUAGUGUAACAAGAAGAAAUCAGACAUGUAGACCUAAAGGCUGAGCUGUGUGGUCCUCAUGCUAUGUUGUCUCCAUGAUGCUUCCCAGGACUACUCUCUGAUCCAUGUCAGGGCCUAGGA
rnacentral:lncRNA from 1 species